UUAAGUUGGAUGUUAAAUUUUUGAGCUCAACUUAGUUGGAAGUAUCCAUACUUGGCAAACUGGAGACUGGUAGAGGUAAGUGGAAUUCUGCAUGUAGGGGUAAUAUCCGUAGAUAUGCAGAGGAACACCAAAAGCGAAGGCAGCUUACUGGACCAGUUCUGACGCUCAAGAACGAAAGCGUGGGUAGCGAACGGGAUUAGAUACCCCGGUAGUCCACGCCCUAAACGAUGAACACUAGGUAUUGGAGGUCUCGACCCCUUCAGUGCCGACGCAAAUGCAAUAAGUGUUCCGCCUGGGUAGUACGAGCGCAAGCUUAAAACUCAAAGGAAUAGACGGGGACCCACACAAGCGGUGGAGCAUCUGGUUUAAUUCGACAAUAAGCGAGGAACCUUACCAAGGCUUGACAUCCCGAGAAGAUCGCCGAAAGGUGAUUGUGCCGUUAGGAACUCGGUGACAGGUGCUGCAUGGUUGUCGUCAGCUCGUGCCUUGAGGUGUUCGGUUAAGUCCGUGAACGAGCGCAACCCUUGUCUCAAGUUGCAUAUUUCUUGAGAGACUGCCGGUUUCAAAUCGGAGGAAGGUAAGGAUGACGUCAAAUCAGCAUGGCCCUUAUGUCUUGGGCGACACAGGUGCUACAAUGGCCGGUACAAUGGGCAGCGAAGGAGCAAUCUGGAGCAAAUCCUCAAAACCGGUCCAAGUUCGAAUUGAAGGCUGCAACUCGCCUUCAUGAAGUUGGAAUCGCUAGUAACCGCAUAUCAGCCAUGGUGCGGUGAAUCCGUUCCUGGGUCUUGUACUCACCGCCCGUCAAGUCAUGAAAGAUGGGGGUGCCCGAAGUACCCUUAGCUAAUUUAGCGGGGUCCUAAGGCAAAACCAUUGAUUGGGACUA
rnacentral:rRNA from 1 species